AAAAUAAUAAAACUAUCUAUAUAUUGCUAACUAUUGUAGAAAAUAGGCAGAAAAUGGUGAUGUUACUAAUAGAGCUAUUUAAUAAUAAGGGUUAGUUACAUAUAUAUAUAUAUAGCUCCUUGUGAACAUAUCGAAUUGCAGGUAUAUCUUUACAAAGUUUAACUUUUUAUAUUUAUCUUUAAAGUCCUAACGUUUUUAAAUAUACCCAUGCUGUUAGCAUUCGUUAGAAAAAUAUAAUUACCCAUAAAUAAAAUAUAUAAUCCUAAUUAGUGAACGAGGUAAAUUAAUCUUUUUACUCCUCUUAUAUUAUUUAUAAUGGUAGAAAAGAAGAAGAUGGCAUUUGGAGAUUUUUAGGGGACAUUUAUGCAUAAUUCUAACAGUUGAAAUUUUUGGAGGGACAUAUUUGUAAUAGUAAAAAUAUCAUUUCACUCAUUUAAAAAAUAAAUAACACUCUAACGGUAAUAAAUCAAAGGGGCAAAUAUGAAUAUCACUGAAUUUUUAUAGGAACAAAUAUAAAAAGUUGAACUUUGUAUGGAUAUAUUUGCUAUUCGAUAUGUUUAAAAGUAGCCGGACUUUAUGAAAUUAACCCUAAUAAUAACUACAAUGUGCAUAUUAGAUUUUCUACUAGAGUUGUUGGCUAAUACCCUCGUCUUAGGGCUAGGUGACUUAGGGGUGGCAAUCCAGCUCGUUGUUCGCGAGCCAGCUCGUGUUCGGCUCGAAAUGAGCUCGAGAUCGGCUCGCUCGUUUAGUAAACGAGCCGAACACGAGCUGGAUUUUUUAACUCAUUUAAUAAACGAGCCGAACACGAGCUGGGGUCAGCUCGCUCGUGUUCGGCUCGAUAACAGCUCGAAUGCAAAUAUUUUAUAUUUAUAUAAUUUAUUUAAUUUAUAUUUUUAUAUAUAAAUAAAUAAUUAUAUAUAAUAUAUAUUUUUAUUAUUUUAUUUUUAGCAAAAUAAAAAUAUAAAUGCGAGCUUAAUUAUAAGAAGACUCAUUUAUAUAUAAAGUUUCAACUAUUAAAUCAAAGUCUAAUUGAUAAGAUUUGAUAACUUUAUUUUUUAUAUAUAUUUAAUCUAAUCUUUUUUAAUUUAUUGCUCGUUGGCCAGCUCGUGAGCCACGAGCUGAAUUUUUCGGCUCGAUAUUUUAACAAGCCAGCUCGUGUUCGGCUUGUUUAAUAAACGAGCUGAACACGAGCA
rnacentral:lncRNA from 1 species